rnacentral:sRNA from 1 species
CGGCUUGGUCAGGUCGACGGUAAGGAACAACAAUGGCUCAGUCUUUCCUACGUUUUUUCUGCUUUUCAUUUUAUUUUUCUCCGGGAGAGGCAACCUGAUAUUGUUGGGCUAUUUGCGCUGAAAUAAUAUGACAUCUUGCCUGGAUCACCUACUGAUACGCAUUGGAGUCACAUCGAGGAGCCCAGAGUAACCUUCCGUUCUGUCUUUAAGCAAUAUACAAUCCCAAUUGUGAAU